UACGGAGGGUGCAAGCGUUAUCCGGAAUCACUGGGUUUAAAGGGUGCGUAGGCGGUGGUGUAAGUCAGUUGUGAAAUGCCCCGGCUUAACCGGCGGAAGUGUGAUUGAUACUGCAUCUCUUGAAUCAGGAUGAGGCAGGCGGAAUGUGGCAUGUAAAGGUGAAAUGCUUAGAUAUGCCAUAGAACACCAAUUGCGAAGGCAGCUUGCUGGGUCUGAAUUGACGCUGAGGCUCGAAAGCGUGGGGAGCGAACAGG
rnacentral:rRNA from 1 species